rnacentral:pre_miRNA from 1 species
UUUCUACUCCCUCCGUCCGAAAAUACUUGUCAUCAAAAUGGAUAAAAAGAGAUGUAUCUAAAACUAAAAUACAUCUAGAUACAUUUCCUUUUAUUCAUUUUGAUGACAAGUAUUUUCGGACGGAGGGAGUAUUUG